CCUACGGGUGGCAGCAGUAGGGAAUAUUGCUCAAUGGGGGAAACCCUGAAGCAGCAACGCCGCGUGGAGGAUGAAGGUUCUCGGAUUGUAAACUCCUUUUUUUAGAGAAGAAAAUGACGGUACCUAACGAUUAAUCACCGGCCAACUCCGUUCCAGCAGCCGCGGUAAUACGGAGGGUGCAAGCGUUAUUCGGAAGCACUGGGCGUAAAGCGCGCGUAGGCGGGAUAGCAAGUCAGAUGUGAAAUCCUAUGGCUUAACCAUAGAACUGCAUUUGAAACUGUUAUUCUAGAGUAUGGGAGAGGUAGGUGGAAUUCGUGGUGUAGGGGUAAAAUCCGUAGAGAUCAAGAGGAAUACUGAUUGCGAAGGCGACCUGCUAGAACAUAACUGACGCUGAUGCGCGAAAGCGUGGGGAGCAAACAGGAUUAGAUACCCCAGUAGUC
rnacentral:rRNA from 1 species